rnacentral:rRNA from 2 species
AACACGUGAGUAACCUGCCCUUGACUCUGGGAUAAGCGUUGGAAACGACGUCUAAUACCGGAUACGAGCUUCCACCGCAUGGUGAGUUGCUGGAAAGAAUUUUGGUCAAGGAUGGACUCGCGGCCUAUCAGCUUGUUGGUGAGGUAAUGGCUCACCAAGGCGACGACGGGUAGCCGGCCUGAGAGGGUGACCGGCCACACUGGGACUGAGACACGGCCCAGACUCCUACGGGAGGCAGCAGUGGGGAAUAUUGCACAAUGGGCGAAAGCCUGAUGCAGCAACGCCGCGUGAGGGACGACGGCCUUCGGGUUGUAAACCUCUUUUAGCAGGGAAGAAGCGAAAGUGACGGUACCUGCAGAAAAAGCACCGGCUAACUACGUGCCAGCAGCCGCGGUAAUACGUAGGGUGCAAGCGUUGUCCGGAAUUAUUGGGCGUAAAGAGCUCGUAGGCGGUUUGUCGCGUCUGCUGUGAAAUCCCGAGGCUCAACCUCGGGUCUGCAGUGGGUACGGGCAGACUAGAGUGCGGUAGGGGAGAUUGGAAUUCCUGGUGUAGCGGUGGAAUGCGCAGAUAUCAGGAGGAACACCGAUGGCGAAGGCAGAUCUCUGGGCCGCUACUGACGCUGAGGAGCGAAAGGGUGGGGAGCAAACAGGCUUAGAUACCCUGGUAGUCCACCCCGUAAACGUUGGGCGCUAGAUGUGGG